AUUUAGUUUCUCCAUUUUUAUGUUUAUUAUUAUUUAUUUUAAAGACAUUUUAUUUUAUUCUUUAUUUUUCUUUUCAUGCUUUCAUGAAGUGCAACACAUCACAACUAUAGCACAACAAACAUCUCACUCCCGCUUGAGUUCACGCUAGCAAAUCUCUUCCUCUCGCGGGUGUUUUUAGAGGGUUCACGAAACGUCCUUCCCCUCAGGGUUAGAC
rnacentral:lncRNA from 1 species